rnacentral:rRNA from 1 species
UACCAGCACCCCGAGUGGUCGGGACGUUUAUUGGGCCUAAAGCCUCUGUAGCCGGUUCUACAAGUCUUCCGUUAAAUCCACCUGCUUAACAGAUGGGCUGCGGAAGAUACUAUAGAGCUAGGAGGCGGGAGAGGCAAGCGGUACUCGAUGGGUAGGGGUAAAAUCCGUUGAUCCAUUGAAGACCACCAGUGGCGAAGGCGGCUUGCCAGAACGCGCUCGACGGUGAGGGAUGAAAGCUGGGGGAGCAAACCGG